AUCAAGUUAAGAAAACACGAACUGAUAACCAUUGCCAGCCAUUCCAUGUGGCUAUAAAAGCUGUGUCCCUCCUGUCUUUUAAAGCAGUUCUUCCAAAACAGCCUGGAAGACGGAAACCACCUCCUAUACCUCCAGAUAAUUCACCGUGGAACCUCUUCACAGUCAUACGAAGUAACGACAAGAAAGAGAGAGAGAGAGGCGGACUCAGUGGUACCCGCUACGGAAUAGGUUCCACAUUCCUUUGUCCCGAAUUUCAUCGCGCAAGGGCACCAAAUCACCGCAGUGCUCUUUUCCCGUCAGAGAAAGCCCCUCAUCUCCUCCGAAGUGGAAACUGUGCCCUCGAGUGAGCUUUUCCUUCCUUGCAUACGAAAACAAAACGUGUGUUCAGUUGUUCGAAAUUCAAUCCAAUCUCAGUUCAUCCAGCAAUGUUGUUACUUCAGCUUUUGUUCUUUUAUCUGGUGGUGCGAUUUGUCAUUACUCUCUGGCUCGUGGUUCUCCACUUCAUCAAGGAGGAAAAGGAGGCGGCCCAUCCUCAUUCUGUCAUAGUUUCGUCAGAGAUGCCCCAGCAUACUCCCAUAAGUCAAAAUUGGCUUAAUGCGUCAAAGCCGAAACGUCCCAAUGGAAUACAAAUGUGGGCUGCAGCGCUUGCUUGGCAGCUCCUGAUAACACCAUUCAUAAACGUGAGAGGACUCUGGGUAAGGAAAACACCUCCCACGGAU